rnacentral:lncRNA from 1 species
UUUUCUACUUCUUUGUUGUUUGGAGGGUUUUUCUUUUUUUAAAAGUUUUUCUCAAUUUCUUUGAGUUUUCUUUUGUCUUUACUUUUCUUUUUCUACAAAUCUUUCUAGAUUUUCCUUCAAACCAUUCGACUUUGGCAAUGGUAACUUUUCUUUCUUCUUCUUUUUAUUUUUCUUUUUUUUUAUUUCUCUGAUUUUUUUCUUAAGUACAAUGGUUGGGGUUAACACAUACAACUACAUGAGAGUAGUGAUGAGGCCUAAGGAUGUCCCAACUAAGAGUGUUGAGUUUGAAUACACAAUAACAUAAAUGGGAUGAAAUUUCUACAGGGGUGUAGACGGAUCAAAGUUAUGACUAAUUUCAAAUAUAAGUUCUCAAUUCCUCAAGGGAAACAUUUUUUGAACAAAGUCAGUUUAGAGGGAUAGGGCUAACUAUACUUGCCUUUGUAUCUAUUUAAAAUGGGUUUUCACUUGCCCCUUCACCCUUUUUUCGUAGAACUGUUAAAUUAUGGCAUCAUUCUUGGAUAGUUGAUGAGAACAUCUUGGUGGGCUCUAGUGUCAUACUUCCUACAUUGUCACCAAAGAGGAGAGGAACCCUCAUCGAACGUUUUUAGGAAGGCCUACAUUAUUUUUCCGACAAGUAGAGUUUAUCAAAAGGGCUUCGUAAUGUUGAUGGCUCACAAGGGUACAACCUUUAUUUUGGAUAACACAUGGAACAACAUGCUUUUGUCAAGGGAAAAAUACAUCAAGGUUCGCCAAGACUGCGGAGGUGGUUUUCCCUUUCCAAACUCUUGAUGUAAGCCCAACAGUAACUACAACACCUUUGAUCCACUUGAAAACAAAUGCAAAACUAGAACAAUACAGACGAUUAGGUGCAGGUUUGCCUUUAAAGGUAGAAGCUACAUACAACUUGCAUAAUAUUUGGAAGUAUUUCCUAAUGGAGCAAAGUCCCAAUGUUGGUGUAAUAUCCCGAUUUUCAAUAGUGUCUGAAAAAGUGGUUUCAGAACCUCAUUUUCAAUGGUCGAAUCUGUAAAUAUUAUAAUAAUAUUUAUGAGAUCGAUUUAGUAUUAUAUUGAA